CACAACAAAAAUAGAGUUGUUUUUGUGUUUGUACCCUGUUAUGCAGCCAGCCCCUUUUCUUGCAUGACAUAAAUACGUUGUGUGUUUCCGAUGUGAGAUAACGGUUCAUACCCCCCACCCAUAUACACACUGUUGUGUGUGUGUGUGUCAGGAGCGGCCUGGGUCCUUGAGGAAGUUUCAGUUCAGUAAACAGGAAGGUAAAAAAACUCCCCAUUUCAUUUUUCAUCAACUUCCUCCUUUUAAUGAUGAUAUCGGACCCCCCCCCCCCCCCCCAAACACACACACACACACACACACACACACACACACACACACACACACACACACACGGGACGGGACAUGUCACCCGUGACACAAAUGUAGUUCCUUUUCUUGUCGGGAUAAGUGAGGGAGGCUGUGACAGGGGAAGGCACAGCAGCAGCUCUUGUAUGGGCUCCUUUGUUUUUGCUGUGUGUCAUCUGUUUCCCGUUUAUGUACACAGGGCAGUUCCAGCCUGCAGAGCCGCUUCUCCUCUGCAUUAUGUUGUAUUAUGUGCAUUAUGUGUACGGGCUUGCUGCUCCUUUGAACCUGUCGAGGCUGUCAGAUGCGCUGAGUUUGGCUUUACAGUCUGUGUGUUGGUGAUGAUGAGUGGGGAUACACCGAAGAAUCCCGAAGAGGUCAAAAACCUGUGGCGUCGGAGGAAAAGAGAGAGGGGGACUGAGGUGUAUAUGUUGAAGUAGGAAGGCUUGUCUUUAUGGAGAAAAAAGGAAAAAGAGGGGAACGCAGCUGCCGAUAUGUUGGAGAUGUAAAAAAGAAGAAGAACAGGAUGAGAAGAAGCAAAUAUCAUAAUGAUAAGAGGAGGAAGAAUGGCUGAAAUCGAUCUGACGACGACGGCAGAAAGAAGAGGCGGAUCCGCGAGCUAAAGAGGAGUGAGUACACAAAAAACAGAAAUCGCCUUGUAGAAGACGGAGCUGCCUCAUUUGCAUAUCAUUGUGUGUGUGUGUGUGUGUGUGUGUGUGUGUGUGUGUGUGUGUGUCCGCUUUCUUGCUCGCACCUCGUGUGUAUGUGGCAGGUGCUCUGCCCGUGCUGUGAGGAAGGGGAUGCUCACGUGUUGCAGGAACUGCCGCAGAACCCCCUCCUCACAAUCCUCCUCUUCCUCCCUUUCCCAAAACACUUUAGUUUACAAGACUUUAUCAAUUCUUAUUGAUGAAUCGAUGAUCGAUUAAAGGCUGCGCACGUCACACCACGUGUAUUGGAACAGUGUGUUUCCCUAUUGCAAGCCCAGUUUCCCUUCCUGUGCCUUCUCUAUAACUGCUUCAUUAGCUAGCCCGAUUAACCCACUCGGGGCUGCGUGACGUCAGAGUGACGAUGAUUUAGGUUUAGCUGUUUUCCUCUUCUAGUCAACCAGACGUAGCUUAUGGUUAUAUGUUCAAAUGUUAGAGAGAUACAUGAAUUCAGAGUUCUUCAAUUGUUUUUCUAGUGGUGCGAUUUUCCGCAGAAGGACGCAUGUCAUAUCACUGUACGUUUGCUUUGUCUCCUUUACGCCCGUGCGCGAACAAUAUUUCAUACUUAAACAAGAGUCGGAAAAUGCCGGUGUCAGCUAUCAUUAACCAAGAUGUAAAUGGGCAAGGACACACACACACACACACACACACACACACACACACACACACACACACACACACUAAUAUGCCUAAAUGGCGGAGGGUGAAGGCGAGGUCGUGGUCAGUGGAAGGUUAUAGGUCACUCUGGACAACUUUCUCCCCAAAUAGACUUACAUUUAAUUCAAUACUUCUACACUAUUCUCUAUCUGAUUGUCUUCAGUAGAGUAGAUAGCACCAUUUCAAAAGAUUGCUUUGUCUAAAAAUGCACACGUUGACUUUGUUUUGGCUCCAACAGUAUCCGAAGUCCUCCGCUAUUGUCUCACAUGUGACACAGUUGUUCUGUUUUUGUAUUGUGGUUUUUCUGAAAUAAUAAAGUGUGCGGACGAAGAGAGAAUUCCUGCGAUGGUUUUUACUCUUGCACAGCUUCGCUGAGGUCCUAUCAGUUUGCAUCCAGAUGUGUGGUUUUCUGCUGUCGAUCUCCAAUCACAGUGUGUAUGAAGCGUGUUUGCAACAUGAGCCUGUAUAUAACAGCGGUGGUUUCGGCUGUUUAUUUUCGCGUGCUGAUUGCUAAUGUGCUUUUUCUUUGAUUAGAAGAUGCCUGUGGAAUCAAAUGCUCCGAUUCUACAGGGAGCGUUUGUUUCUUUUCAUUGUCUGUGCUCCACCAUCACAACGCUGCUAAUGUUGUGCACACCCAGUGUGUGCUCAGCAGCCAGAAUAGUCCAGAUAAGCCACUUGCACAUUUUAAGAAGCUGGUUUUCUGCCAAGUGUCGGCAAUGAAAAUGCACAGUUUUUCAACUGAAAUGUUUGUAAUUUAGGAUUUCAUAUUCUUAGUCAAAUGAAAGCCGGGAUGUACACAUACAACAUACGUUCAGCAGGAAAACAGUCUGUGUUUGAUGAGUGAGAGGAUGUUUUGUGGAUGUGAAGGGCAGAGCGGAGUGUUGGAUCUCACUGCGCACAGAUAACGUGAAGCAGUCGUUCUCUGUUAUUUUGGACUCGUCUUUAUUUUCUCCCUGCUGUUUAUUUCUCUCAGUUUUACCUUCCACGCUGCGGGCUGCUGGUCUGCCUGCUGCACUGUGAAAUUAAUUUAGUCUUAGUCCGAGCCAAGCACCCAACUUCCAACACGUUUAGCAGACUACUCGCCACAUGGAGGGGCAGGCCUCCGGAGCACUUCAUUUUUUUCUCUCUCCGAUACUUUGCAUGACAAUAACCAGGGAAUGGGCCUCGAAUUAUUUUUCAAAUUGCACAAAGGAGCAAAGACACAUUUCUCUUUUUCUUCGUUGUCCCUACAGCUUUUUCAGCUUGGUAAUAUUUCAGAGCAGUGACAAGUCCGAUCGCUGCAGAGAAUGGGGCCGUUUAACCCUUCAAUAUGUUCACUUUAACUUUCUUAUUGUGGCUGCAUGCGAGUUCAGGCCUGCCAUCGGCCCUCUGUUGAUUUGUAAUCCUUCAGGGUACAAUUAAAAAUGGAUACCCUUAAA
ensembl:lncRNA